AGCAGCCCACAGCAGCCGAGUUCGCGCCGCCGGUAGGUGCUGCCAUGCCAGGGGGCGGGAUCGUGGAGCGCCUCGCAGAACCGCACGAAAGCAAAAACAAAGCCAUCUCUCCGGAGCAGAAAUAGAACAGACGUGGCCGGGGAAAGCCAAAUAUUUCCUGCCGUCCUGGUGAACACAAUCGAGCAAGGCAGUGAAGCAAACAUCAUUAGGUGGCUGGACUCAGACACAUCACGCUCCAGUUUGGGUUCCAAGGUGCUUCUCUCUGGAUUUUCACCUGCCUUGCCAAAAAUGAUUGAUUACGCUGGGCCAACUGGGUGUCCGGCAAUACCCAACAAAUGACUUUGGCCCCUAACAGCAGGUCUUGGCCAGACAGAAAUCAAUAUUUCACCAUUAAAAUCUAUCAAAGAAGAGUUAAGGCACCAUCUGUCCCUGCCGCCUCUCUAUGGUGUGUGAACAUUAAAUCCGACACUUGUACUACAUGGGUAAUCAAUAUAUAGUGGUUCACAGAUCAUUUGUGGUUCCCUUUUAGCAGUGAUGGAUGUCUGGAAUCGUUGUGAUUCAUUUUGUCAGACCAUUAAACAAGAUUCUGUCCAGUUCCUUCCUGAUUUCAAAAAAAAAAAAAAAAAAAAAA
rnacentral:lncRNA from 1 species